rnacentral:rRNA from 1 species
CUCUGGUAUUGAUUGGUGCUUGCAUCAUGAUUUACAUUUGAGUGAGUGGCGAACUGGUGAGUAACACGUGGGAAACCUGCCCAGAAGCGGGGGAUAACACCUGGAAACAGAUGCUAAUACCGCAUAACAACUUGGACCGCAUGGUCCGAGUUUGAAAGAUGGCUUCGGCUAUCACUUUUGGAUGGUCCCGCGGCGUAUUAGCUAGAUGGUGAGGUAACGGCUCACCAUGGCAAUGAUACGUAGCCGACCUGAGAGGGUAAUCGGCCACAUUGGGACUGAGACACGGCCCAAACUCCUACGGGAGGCAGCAGUAGGGAAUCUUCCACAAUGGACGAAAGUCUGAUGGAGCAACGCCGCGUGAGUGAAGAAGGGUUUCGGCUCGUAAAACUCUGUUGUUAAAGAAGAACAUAUCUGAGAGUAACUGUUCAGGUAUUGACGGUAUUUAACCAGAAAGCCACGGCUAACUACGUGCCAGCAGCCGCGGUAAUACGUAGGUGGCAAGCGUUGUCCGGAUUUAUUGGGCGUAAAGCGAGCGCAGGCGGUUUUUUAAGUCUGAUGUGAAAGCCUUCGGCUCAACCGAAGAAGUGCAUCGGAAACUGGGAAACUUGAGUGCAGAAGAGGACAGUGGAACUCCAUGUGUAGCGGUGAAAUGCGUAGAUAUAUGGAAGAACACCAGUGGCGAAGGCGGCUGUCUGGUCUGUAACUGACGCUGAGGCUCGAAAGUAUGGGUAGCAAACAGGAUUAGAUACCCUGGUAGUCCAUACCGUAAACGAUGAAUGCUAAGUGUUGGAGGGUUUCCGCCCUUCAGUGCUGCAGCUAACGCAUUAAGCAUUCCGCCUGGGGAGUACGGCCGCAAGGCUGAAACUCAAAGGAAUUGACGGGGGCCCGCACAAGCGGUGGAGCAUGUGGUUUAAUUCGAAGCUACGCGAAGAACCUUACCAGGUCUUGACAUACUAUGCAAAUCUAAGAGAUUAGACGUUCCCUUCGGGGACAUGGAUACAGGUGGUGCAUGGUUGUCGUCAGCUCGUGUCGUGAGAUGUUGGGUUAAGUCCCGCAACGAGCGCAACCCUUAUUAUCAGUUGCCAGCAUUAAGUUGGGCACUCUGGUGAGACUGCCGGUGACAAACCGGAGGAAGGUGGGGAUGACGUCAAAUCAUCAUGCCCCUUAUGACCUGGGCUACACACGUGCUACAAUGGAUGGUACAACGAGUUGCGAACUCGCGAGAGUAAGCUAAUCUCUUAAAGCCAUUCUCAGUUCGGAUUGUAGGCUGCAACUCGCCUACAUGAAGUCGGAAUCGCUAGUAAUCGCGGAUCAGCAUGCCGCGGUGAAUACGUUCCCGGGCCUUGUACACACCGCCCGUCACACCAUGAGAG